rnacentral:rRNA from 1 species
CACGUAGGCGGAUUGCUAAGUCGGGGGUGAAAUCCUGGAGCUCAACUCCAGAACUGCCUCCGAUACUGACGAUCUUGAGUCCGGGAGAGGUGAGUGGAACUGCGAGUGUAGAGGUGAAAUUCGUAGAUAUUCGCAAGAACACCAGUGGCGAAGGCGGCUCACUGGCCCGGUACUGACGCUGAGGUGCGAAAGCGUGGGGAGCAAACA